UACGUAGGGUGCAAGCGUUGUCCGGAAUUAUUGGGCGUAAAGAGCUCGUAGGCGGUCUGUCGCGUCUGCUGUGAAAACUCGGGGCUUAACCCCGGGCCUGCAGUGGGUACGGGCAGACUAGAGUGCGGUAGGGGAGACUGGAAUUCCUGGUGUAGCGGUGAAAUGCGCAGAUAUCAGGAGGAACACCAAUGGCGAAGGCAGCUGGCUGGGACGGUACUGACGCUGAGGCGCGAAAGCGUGGGGAGCAAACAGG
rnacentral:rRNA from 1 species